GGAGCUGUAGCUCAAUGGUAGAGCGGUUGUCUUAUACACAACUGGUUGGAGGUUCGAGUCCUCCCGGCUCCA
rnacentral:tRNA from 1 species